AUUGAACGCUGGCGGAAUGCUUUACACAUGCAAGUCGAACGGCAGCACGGGGCAACCUGGUGGCGAGUGGCGAACGGGUGAGUAAUAUAUCGGAACGUGCCCAAUCGUGGGGGAUAACGUAGCGAAAGUUACGCUAAUACCGCAUACGAUCUACGGAUGAAAGCGGGGGAUCGCAAGACCUCGCGCGAAUGGAGCGGCCGAUAUCAGAUUAGGUAGUUGGUGGGGUAAAGGCUCACCAAGCCAACGAUCUGUAGCUGGUCUGAGAGGACGACCAGCCACACUGGAACUGAGACACGGUCCAGACUCCUACGGGAGGCAGCAGUGGGGAAUUUUGGACAAUGGGCGCAAGCCUGAUCCAGCCAUUCCGCGUGGAGGACGAAGCCCUUCGGGGUGUAAACUCCUUUUCUCAGGGAAAAGGAUGAUGGUACCUGAGGAAUAAGCCCCGGCUAACUACGUG
rnacentral:rRNA from 1 species